GGCUUCAGUAUAAUUGCGAGAAAGCGGUCGGAGACAGGAAUUAGGGUCCGACGGUCGUCUUCUCCAAACUCAAAUGACGUUCCUGAUACCUUCAGCAGAGAAACGGAUCUGCCUUUAAUCCCAUUGAUUGGUGCCUCCACGAUGUGUCUUCAAUACGAUCCUUACGCUUCAGAGGCGGUGCGAUUUUUGCGUAUAAAUAGAUAUCACCCCUCUCAUCCUCAAUUCAUCCAGACAUCCCAACAGCUUUGACUUCAUGUUAUAAAUCGUGUGUAAUCAUCAUCUCAGUCUUCCUCUCCGAUUUGCAGAAUGGCCGCUCCUCUUCCACCGUUGAAGGCCAGGAAUAUCCGCCGUGGUGGAGAUCUCAUGGGAGUAGACAUACUCCUUCUUGAUUCUCAGGAAUGUGAAGAAAAAUCUGAAACCGAAGAAGAUGAAGAACUGAGACUUAUAAAGAUUGUUUGUAAAAAAAUUGCAAGCAAGAUGGAGUGUGACAGAGCAAGCGGCGGAAGAGAACGACAAACGGCGGAGAGUAACACAGCACUCGGCAGUGAGCAACGCAGCACUCGGCGGAGAGAAACAAAGAAAGCGGCAGAGAGUAACUGAGAAAGUAGUGGAAGAGCAACAGAACAAUGGCGGAGAGCAAUGAACAAGAGGCAUUGAGAUGGAUCAAGUGACGGAAAGAGUGAGAUGGACAGACAUGAAACAAGCGACAGAUAGUGUGACAAGAGAUAGGAAAUGCAAUUGCUGCAGUUCAAUCUGGCACAAGGGAGGUUCAUAGGCUCUCGGACAGGGUCAAUUAAUCACUUUGUUAGCAAACAUAUAAAAAAGUUGUCGUUUCCUUGGAUUCAGACAAGAAAUAGCAAACAAACACACUGUGUGCAUAGCUUGGCGAUUGAAUUGGACUAAAUGGAAAGACUUUGGCCAGUGGAAGACCGAGGAACUAUCAAAAGAAAAAUACAUUGCAUUUUUAAAUAAUAAUAUUUUUAGCUUAAGCGUGUAUUAGAUAUAGCUCUGUAACUUUCAGUUUGUUUGUUUUUUACUUAAAAAGUAAUUUUUCUCUUUAUAUAUCACAGUUAGUGUACCAAAUAUUGAUGGAAGUUAGUUACAAAAUUAUAGACCA